rnacentral:rRNA from 1 species
UGCAGUCGCACGAGAAAGUGGAGCAAUCCAUGAGUACAGUGGCGUACGGGUGAGUAACACGUGGAUCAUCUACCUCUUGGUGGGGAAUAACCCUGGGAAACCGGGGCUAAUACCGCAUAAGCCUGCAAAGGGAAAGCAGCAAUGCGCCGAGAGAGGAGUCCGCGGCCGAUUAGCUUGUUGGUAGGGUAAUGGCCUACCAAGGCAAUGAUCGGUAGCCGGCCUGAGAGGGCACACGGCCACACUGGCACUGAAACACGGGCCAGACUCCUACGGGAGGCAGCAGUGGGGAAUCUUGCACAAUGGGGGAAACCCUGAUGCAGCGACGCCGCGUGAGCGAUGAAGCCCUUCGGGGUGUAAAGCUCUUUCGGCAGGAACGAUAAUGACGGUACCUGCAGAAGAAGCUGCGGCUAACUACGUGCCAGCAGCCGCGGUAAUACGUAGGCAGCAAGCGUUGUUCGGAAUUACUGGGCGUAAAGAGUGUGUAGGCGGUUCUCUAAGUUCCGUGUGAAAUCUCCCGGCUUAACUGGGAGGGUGCGCGGAAAACUGGAGGGCUGGAGUAUGGGAGAGGAAAGCGGAAUUCCUGGUGUAGCGGUGAAAUGCGUAGAUAUCAGGAGGAACACCUGCGGUGUAGACAGCUUUCUGGACCAUCACUGACGCUGAGACACGAAAGCGUGGGUAGCAAACAGGAUUAGAUACCCUGUAGUCCACGCCCUAAACGAUGCAUACUUGGUGUGAGCCGUUCAUUCGUUCGUGCCGGAUACGCGUUAAGUAUGCCGCCUGGAUACGGUCGCAGGCUGAAACUCAAGAUACGGGGGCCCGCAC